rnacentral:tRNA from 1 species
UCUCCAGCAGUCCAGUGGUUAGGACUCUACACCUUCACUGUCAAGGGCCCAGGUUCAACUCCUGGUAGAAGAA